UCGAACAAAAAACGGGCCCCUCUCCUAGGGGGGCCCCUCACCCAACACACACACCCCUGUGCACACUUGUGAACGGGGGGAGGACCUGACAAAGGGUUCCCCCUCUCCCCGGGAUCAUGCCUUCCUGCAUCCUCAUACAGACUCCAGGGUGUAACGGAAUGUCCCUUGCGUGUAAGCGCAUCGUAACA
rnacentral:misc_RNA from 1 species